rnacentral:rRNA from 1 species
UACGUAGGGCGCAAGCGUUGUCCGGAAUUAUUGGGCGUAAAGAGCUCGUAGGCGGCCAGUUGCGUCCGCUGUGAAAUCCCGGGGGCUUAACCCCGGGCGUGCAGUGGAUACGGGCUGGCUAGAGGCAGGCAGGGGGAGAACGGAAUUCCCCGGUGUAGCGGUGAAAAUGCGCAGAUAUCGGGAGGAACACCGGUGGCGAAGGCGGUUCUCUGGGCCUGUACUGACGCUGAGGAGCGAAAGCGUGGGGGAGCAAAACAGG